rnacentral:lncRNA from 12 species
GCAGAUGGAGAGCCCUACCAAUAGUGUCAACAUUGGAGGGGGAGGGAAGAUCAAAUAGAUCAAAUUUCAAGAACGCUCUGCUCAUCAAGAAGGUGGCCUGACCCAUGUGUUUGGUAGUGAUGCUUCCUUCUUUUCUUCCUGAGGAUGGAGCUGAGGACAAUGGGCGUGACACCUCAAACAGAAGCAUCUAUACCAGCCUGGAAGAAAGUCUCAGAGAAACGGGGUAAGCUGCCUCCUGGGGAAGCAUUUACUAAAUGAGUUCCUUCGAGAUUCUUCUGAAGAUAAAAGACACCCAGAGUAAGGCGUAUUUAGGUAAAGGCUCUUGAUGUGGGAAACAGUGCUUAGGGCUUAGAGACAGCACUGAGGAGUCUAAGAACAACUCAGGAGAGCUUCCACUAGAGAUGUGGCAGGGCUGAGUUUUAGAACCAGUCAUGCAUUGACUGCGGGGACUUCAAAACAAGUCAUCUUGUC